GACGAACGCUGGCGGCGUGCUUAACACAUGCCAGUCGAACGGAAAGGCCCUUCGGGGUACUCGAGUGGCGAACGGGUGAGUAACACGUGGGUGAUCUGCCCUGCACUUUGGGAUAAGCCUGGGAAACUGGGUCUAAUACCGAAUAGGACCACGCGCUUCAUGGUGUGUGGUGGAAAGCUUUUGCGGUGUGGGAUGGGCCCGCGGCCUAUCAGCUUGUUGGUGGGGUAAUGGCCUACCAAGGCGACGACGGGUAGCCGGCCUGAGAGGGUGACCGGCCACACUGGGACUGAGAUACGGCCCAGACUCCUACGGGAGGCAGCAGUGGGGAAUAUUGCACAAUGGGCGCAAGCCUGAUGCAGCGACGCCGCGUGAGGGAUGACGGCCUUCGGGUUGUAAACCUCUUUCACCAGGGACGAAGCGUAAGUGACGGUACCUGGAGAAGAAGCACCGGCCAACUACGUG
rnacentral:rRNA from 1 species